UAGGGAAUCUUCCGCAAUGGACGCAAGUCUGACGGAGCAACGCCGCGUGAGUGAAGAAGGAUUUCGGUUCGUAAAACUCUGUUGUUAGAGAAGAACAGCGCAUAGAGUAACUGUUAUGCGUGUGACGGUAUCUAACCAGAAAGCCACGGCUAACUACGUGCCAGCAGCCGCGGUAAUACGUAGGUGGCAAGCGUUGUCCGGAUUUAUUGGGCGUAAAGCGAGCGCAGGCGGUCAAUUAAGUCUGAUGUGAAAGCCCCCGGCUCAACCGGGGAGGGUCAUUGGAAACUGGUUGAAUUGAGUGCAGAAGAGGAGAGUGGAAUUCCAUGUGUAGCGGUGAAAUGCGUAGAUAUAUGGAGGAACACCAGGGGCGAAGGCGACUCUCUGGUCUGUAACUGACGCUGAGGCUCGAAAGCGUGGGUAGCAAACAGG
rnacentral:rRNA from 1 species